rnacentral:tRNA from 2 species
UGCCCGGUGGUGUAAUGGUAACACUGCGGAUUUUGAUUCCGCCAUUUCUGGUUCGAGUCCAGGCCGGGUAA